UACGUAGGUGGCAAGCGUUGUCCGGAAUUAUUGGGCGUAAAGGGCUCGCAGGCGGUCUUCUAAGUCUGAUGUGAAAUCUUGCGGCUUAACCGUAAGCGGUCAUUGGAAACUGGAGGACUUGAGUACAGAAGAGGAGAGUGGAAUUCCACGUGUAGCGGUGAAAUGCGUAGAGAUGUGGAGGAACACCAGUGGCGAGGGCGACUCUCUGGUCUGUAACUGACGCUGAGGAGCGAAAGCGUGGGGAGCAAACAGG
rnacentral:rRNA from 1 species